rnacentral:rRNA from 1 species
UACGAAGGGGGCUAGCGUUGUUCGGAAUUACUGGGCGUAAAGCGCGCGCAGGCGGCUAUCCAAGUCAGUGGUGAAAGCCCGGAGCUCAACUCCGGAACUGCCAUUGAAACUGUUUAGCUUGAGGACGAGAGAGGUGAGUGGAAUUCCCAGUGUAGAGGUGAAAUUCGUAGAUAUUGGGAAGAACACCAGUGGCGAAGGCGGCUCACUGGCUCGUAUCUGACGCUCAGGCGCGAUAGCGUGGGGAUCAAACAGG